rnacentral:rRNA from 1 species
GCAGCCUGACGCAGCGACGCCGCGUGAGGGAUGAAGGCCUUCGGGUUGUAAACCUCUGUCGUGCGGGACGAAAGGGUCCGGGCUAAUACCCCGGGGGCCUGGCCGGACCCUCCAAAGAAGCCCCGGGUUACUUCCGGGCCACCGCCCGCGUAAAACCUAAGGGGGCAACCUUUAUCCGAAUUAUUGGGGGUAAAAGGGGCGGAAGGCGCCCGCUUAAUCCGGAGUGAAAACCCCGGGCUUCACCCGGGAAAUUGCUUCGAAACCGGGUGGCUUUGAUGCGGGGAAGGGGAGUGGAAUUUCCGGGUGUAGAGGGAAAAUGCUUAAAUUUCGGGAGAAA